UACGUAGGGGGCAAGCGUUGUCCGGAAUCAUUGGGCGUAAAGCGCACGUAGGCGGAUCGAUCAGUCAGGGGUGAAAUCCCAGAGCUCAACUCUGGAACUGCCUUUGAUACUGUCGAUCUGGAGUAUGGAAGAGGUGAGUGGAAUUCCGAGUGUAGAGGUGAAAUUCGUAGAUAUUCGGAGGAACACCAGUGGCGAAGGCGGCUCACUGGUCCAUUACUGACGCUGAGGUGCGAAAGCGUGGGGAGCAAACAGG
rnacentral:rRNA from 1 species